AAGCUUGAGAAGUUGGCUCAUGUUAACCUAAAGAGGUUCAACAAGUCUGACUGCAAGGUGCUGCACCUGGAUCAGGGUAAUCCCAGACAGGAGCAUAGACUGGGUGAAAAACAAAUUGAGAGCAGCCCUGCAGAGAAGGACUUGGAGGUUCUGGUAUAGGAGAAGCAGACUACUAUGAUGCUCCUGGUAGUGCCUGUCAGUCAGGGAUUUCCACCCCUGGACAUGGCCAUUUCAUCCUGGGAGUCAGUGCUGGAGUCAGGCCCAUCUCCUCACACCUGUCUAUAAAGGCCUGCCAGCAUUGUCUCAGAAAUGCAUUGCAGAGGGGACAGAUUCCCAUCCAGCCCAUGUUAGGCUGGUUCUCGUGAAGGCAAAGGGGCAGCUCCAGAUGAAACAUUUCUACAGCAAAGGGGUAUGCUCAGCUUAGUGGGUGUCUCAUCCAAGCUAAGCUGCCUUGCGCAAACACAGAAGCAGAUCCCAGCCACAGUUUUAUCCAUUUGCCAAUGAGACAUGCCCAAAACUUCACCCAAGGCUUAUAUAGUGCUAACAGUCUCCUGGGGCAUUCAAGGUAGGCAAUAAAGAGUAGGGCAAUUAAGAAACCAAUGUCUCCAGGAACUACUAGUCCUGUGUUGAGUUGCAACACAGGCCAAGCCCUUCCAGGGUAAUGGGCCAUCCCAACAAACCAGAAAUGUUUGUCAGAGCUCUGCCUGGGUCUCUUUCCUGUGGUCUACCCCACACCUUAGCCCUGGCAGUGCCAUACCUUCACCUGGGCUAAACUGGUUACAUUCUCUUGCAGCUGUGGCUGAUUCCAUUCCUCUGACACCAGGAAAGACAAAGGGUUUGCCCCAGCACAGCUUUGGCUCGCCUCUCUUGCCUGCAUGGUUGAUUCCUUCUGAACAUGACAAGGCUGUACCAAGCAGGGCCACACGUGGAUCCGUAAGGAAACAGCUCUGGAAUCAAGCAGGGACAGGGUGCCCUGCUGAUGUGAGCUGUUACAGAGGUAACCAGGCUCUAAUGAGAAACUGCAGACAUCAGGGGGCUGCAAAGCACUGACAGG